GUCACCAACUCGGUAGGCGCGAGGAGGUUUUUCAUGAAAAUAAAACGUUAGCCUGUCUGUUAUCCUCCAUGAAAUAGGCUAUAUCUUGACAAAUAUACUGCAGAAGUAUGUGUGGUUUCGAUAAGGAGAAGGGUCCGGGGUGGCUGAUGAAGAAGGGGUUUACUCUGAUCCUAGUGGGCCACAUCAACUUCAUCCUGGGAGCCAUCGUCCACGGCAGCAUCCUGCGCCACAUCUCCAAACCCAAUGACCAGAUCACCACUGAGUUCACCGCAGGCAACAUAAUCUCUGUCACUUCUGGACUGCUGAGCAUUGCAACAGGAAUUAUUGCCAUAUUGGUGUCAAGAAAUCUGUUGGUUUGGAAACUGCACAUAGGUCUUCUGAUUAGUUCCUUCCUGAAUGCCCUACUCUCUGCGGCCUGCGGCGUCGGGCUCCUAUUGGCUAUUAGCCUCACCAUUGCCAACGAGGGGCGGGGCCUCAUGAUGGGCUGCAACUUCACUGACCUGCCAAUCAACGCCCGCUCACCAAUCAACGCAGACUGCCCCUUCGAUACCACACGGAUAUAUGACACUACCCUGUCUCUGUGGUUCCCAUGUGUUCUGCUGGCAGGACUGGAAACAGGACUGUCCAUCUGGUGCUUCGUAGUGGGACUGGUACUGAGGGGUCUAGGACCCUGCUCACAUGCAUACCUCAAAGAACAGCUGGAGGAAGAGGCUCUGACCAAUAGGGCAGCGGCAGAUCCAGAGUACUCACCCCCAGGCCAAAGCCUGAUUGGACAACACUCUGCCUACGCAUAGAGGACUGCCACAGUCAGGGAGGGGAUGACUGAACCUCGUCCUCCUCAGAGAACCUCCCUGAUGCCUAUACCUCCACUCAUACCAAAGACUCUCCUCUCCCUCUCAGUGAGCGGCUAGACUUUAUUUCCUGAUGGUGCAUAUGAAAGAAAGGAAACAGAGAGAUGAAACCACUUUAGAGUACUGAGACACACCGUGAGAGUUUGUUUCAGGCGUAGCUGGGAUGGGCUCACAUUCCCCUACACCAGGCAGAAGCGAACAGCUCAGCGUUGAAGCGGUUAAUCUGGGACUGGGUUAAAUCGAGCAGGUUGUAAUCUUUGCAUGCAAGGCUAAUCCCCCAAACCGAGGGGAGAAUCAAUAUUGAUAUAAGGAGGUGACUGACACUGUCACAACAAAGCGGGUUCCCUGUGCGACACUGUCACAAAAAGGUUGUCCCUCCAGGGUUUCCGUAUGUUGUUGAUAUUGUAGUACUACUGUAGUAGUGUGGUUUAGGAGGGAUAAACUAGUGUAAGGCUACUCAUCAAGAUGCCCUGGUGGACAAUCUGAAUUGUGCUCUAUCAGAAUGUGGUUUGUUAAUCUUUUAUGUAUAAGAGUUGGGUCAAUUUCAUAUUUAUUCAGUAAAUUAAGGAAGUUAAUUGAAAUUCAGUUUAUUAAUACUUUUCUAAUAGUUUUUUUUAAGCAUGAGUGGAAUUUCAUUUCACCUCCUGAAAUGAAAACUGAAUUGAUCUCAACCCUGAUCUGGAUCUACAUUUAAUGACCUAUGUUGUUUUUUGGUUGCCUGCAGUAUUUAUACCCAAAGUUGCAUCGGAUUUUUUUUUGUUGUUGAUUUUAUGUCACAAUGUGUUCAAAGUUUUUUACAUUAAAUAAUCUGCUUCAAAUUAAUGUUUACUAUUUGACUAAUCAUUGCUAUCCUCAGAAUACCUUGACUAGGUAGAAAUGCACAGCACAAUCUCACACACACACACAUACACACACCCUGUAUAUAUAGCCUCCCUACUGUUAUUUUAUUU